CCUGGAUAUUCUUCCAUGAUCCCAGUCUUCCACGGGAGGCAGCAGGGAUGAGACUGAGGUCCCUCACUGUGCAAAGAGUAAGAACCUCACUCUGCAAAUCUGCACCCCAAAGCAGUUAAGAGCCUGAACACUGGAGCUAGCUGCUGGUUCGAGUCCCACCUCUGAUACAGGCUGUUUGACUUUAGGUGACAUGCAACUAAAAGAAAUGCUCAAUUUCAGUUAAGAUUGGUGAGCACAGAGAUGUCAUUUUUCCCUUCCAAGUUCUUCAACCCCCUGAAUUCUACCAGAGGACCUGCUGGAGGCCUGGGGACCCAGAUGAUUAAGUCCCAGGGCAAAUGGGAGGAGGAACAUGAUGCUGACAGGCCAAGCAGGAGGUGCGGUCUGGGGCUGGAGGAAAAGCCCUCCCCUCAAGGGGCUUC